CAGCAGCCGCGGGAAUACAGAGGGUGCGAGCGUUAAUCGGAUUUACUGGGCGUAAAGCGUGCGUAGGCGGCUUCUUAAGUCGGAUGUGAAAUCCCUGAGCUUAACUUAGGAAUUGCAUUCGAUACUGGGAAGCUAGAGUAUGGGAGAGGAUGGUAGAAUUCCAGGUGUAGCGGUGAAAUGCGUAGAGAUCUGGAGGAAUACCGAUGGCGAAGGCAGCCAUCUGGCCUAAUACUGACGCUGAGGUGCGAAAGCGUGGGGAGCAAACAGGAUUAGAUACCCCAGUAGUCCCUGUCUCUUAUAA
rnacentral:rRNA from 1 species